rnacentral:rRNA from 1 species
AUUGAACGCUGGCGGAAUGCUUUACACAUGCAAGUCGAACGGCAGCACGGGGCAACCUGGUGGCGAGUGGCGAACGGGCGAGUAAUACAUCGGAACGUGCCCAAUCGUGGGGGAUAACGUAGCGAAAGUUACGCUAAUACCGCAUACGAUCUACGGAUGAAAGCGGGGGAUCGCAAGACCUCGCGCGAAUGGAGCGGCCGAUGUCAGAUUAGGUAGUUGGUGGGGUAAAGGCUCACCAAGCCAACGAUCUGUAGCUGGUCUGAGAGGACGACCAGCCACACUGGAACUGAGACACGGUCCAGACUCCUACGGGAGGCAGCAGUGGGGAAUUUUGGACAAUGGGCGCAAGCCUGAUCCAGCCAUUCCGCGUGCAGGAUGAAGGCCUUCGGUUGUAAACUGCUUCUGUACGGAACGAAAAGGUCCUGGUUAAUACCUGGGCGUCAUGACGGUACCGUAAGAAUAAGCACCGGCUAACUACGUGCCAGCAGCCGCGGUAAU